rnacentral:rRNA from 1 species
UACGGAGGGGGUUAGCGUUGUUCGGAAUUACUGGGCGUAAAGCGCGCGUAGGCGGAUUAGAAGGUUGGGGGUGAAAUCCCGGGGCUCAACCUCGGAACUGCCUCCAAAACUGCUAGUCUAGAGUUCAAGAGAGGUGAGUGGAAUUCCGAGUGUAGAGGUGAAAUUCGUAGAUAUUCGGAGGAACACCAGUGGCGAAGGCGGCUCACUGGCUCGAUACUGACGCUGAGGUGCGAAAGUGUGGGGAGCAAACAGG